GACGAACGCUGGCGGCGUGCCUAAUACAUGCAAGUCGAACGAGAGCGCCCUGUGCUUGCACUGGUCUCUCUUGUCGCGAACGGGUGAGUAACACGUGGGUCACCUGCCCAUCAGGGGGGGAUCACAUCCGGACACGGGUGCUUAAACCGCAUAGGUCUUCGAUCCGCGUUGGUGGUAGGAGAAAAGCGGCGCAAGCUUCUGCAGUCGCAUGGUCCCGGGGUGCAUGUGCUGGUUGGUGUGGUAACGGCUCAGCCAGGCGGUGAUGCAUAGCCGACGAGAGGGGGUGAUAGGCCACAUGAGGACUGAGACACGGACCAAACGCCUACGGGAGGCAGCAGUAGGGAAUCUGACGCAGUGGACGGAAGUCUGACGGAGCAGCGCCGCGUGAGUGAAGAAGGUGCUCGGAGCGUAAAAAUCUCUUGUUAGAGAAGAACAAGUGCCAGAGGAAAUGUAGGCUGCUUGACGGUAUCUAAUCAGAAAGCAACGGCUAACUACGUG
rnacentral:rRNA from 1 species